GACAGGGGGGGCAAGUGUUACUCAUCAUGACUGGGCGUAAAGGGCAUCUAGGCGGUUAACAAAAGUUUGUUGUAAAAUUCCUUAAAUGGUUUAUAGGCUACAAUUUUAGACUAGUUAACUAGAGUUUGUUAGACGAUGGCUGUACUGUCAAUGUAAGGAUGGAAUCUCUAGAUAUUGAUGGGACAACCAAAGGCGAAAGGCAGCCCCUCGCGGACAUAACUGACGCUGACGUGCGAAGGUGUGGGGAGCAAAUGGG
rnacentral:rRNA from 1 species